AUUGAACGCUGGCGGCAGGCCUAACACAUGCAAGUCGAGCGGAUGAAGGGAGCUUGCUCCUGGAUUCAGCGGCGGAUGGGUGAGUAAUGCCUAGGAAUCUGCCUGGUAGUGGGGGAUAACGUCCGGAAACGGGCGCUAAUACCGCAUACGUCCUGAGGGAGAAAGUGGGGGAUCUUCGGACCUCACGCUAUCAGAUGAGCCUAGGUCGGAUUAGCUAGUUGGUGGGUAAAGGCCUACCAAGGCGACGAUCCGUAACUGGUCUGAGAGGAUGAUCAGUCACACUGGAACUGAGACACGGUCCAGACUCCUACGGGAGGCAGCAGUGGGGAAUAUUGGACAAUGGGCGAAAGCCUGAUCCAGCCAUGCCGCGUGUGUGAAGAAGGUCUUCGGAUUGUAAAGCACUUUAAGUUGGGAGGAAGGGCAGUAAGUUAAUACCUUGCUGUUUUGACGUUACCAACAGAAUAAGCACCGGCUAACUUCGUG
rnacentral:rRNA from 1 species